rnacentral:lncRNA from 1 species
AUUCCAUAAUCCCUUCCCGAACCAAACAUGAAUCUUUCGAUUCAUUUGGCUCUCACGCUCAAUUACUUAAGGUAAAUUCUCAUAUCUUUUUUUAUGAAUGUAAUGAGCCUAUCUUCUCUUCUUUGUUCAUAUUCCAAAAAGAUAUCGAAACUAAUGUAAGACCAAAAUAGUCGGAGGACUCUUCUGACAAACUCAAAAAUAUGUAAUUGUCAGCAAAGUUGUUUCUUUUUUUUUCAAAUCCAAAAAGUUCUUCUUACUUAGAAUAGGUCGUCGAUUCAGCAUUAGAUAAAGGGGGUAAAAUCCCUGUUUUUACAAUUUACAAUAAGCGGUUAAAAUCAUUUUAUCAAUAUGAGUAUCCUAUAUCGAUAAAAUAUUUAUUUUGAAACCACCUCUAACAUAGUGGUAGAAAGAGUACCAUGCUGCGUCUAGACUUCAAACAGUUUGUUUUAACCAUGUUAAUAGUUCCACAUUAUUGGUUAAUAGAGAAUCAAAAUAAAUUUACCAAUGAAUCGCGAAAUGCUAUGGUUCUUACAUAUAAUUUAUGAAUUUAUACAGAAGUAAUUCGCGAGAUCAUGCACCUCUCUUUCCUACUUAUAACGGAAAAGGGUACAGUUGGUUGGUCCAACCUAUUCUUGAAAUAAACAACUCGCACACACUCCCUUUCCAAAAAAAAUCAAUACACCAAGCACUACACUUAGAUUUAUUGGAUUUGUUGCUAAAAUAUCGGUAUUAAACCCGAAACUCCCGGCAGAUGGCCAGUGGCCCAAAGAAACGAAAGAAUCGGUUACGUUUUUCAUAUGAUCUCCUCUUAUAGAUAGACUAAAAAAUCGAACAGAGUUCUUUUUGUAGCACUUCGCCCCUCUUUUUAUUUAUUCUUUUAUUUUUUCUGAAAUUGAGUAAAAAAAUAAAAAAUAUUCGAGUUAGUUAGAAAUUAUGAACUAAUGAACUAGCCCUUUUAUUGGUUAUUGGAACACUAACACUUACUAAAAAGAGUUUCCCUUGGUCUAUGAACGGGAAGGAUGAAAGCGAGUCAAGUAGGCUAAUUCCUCAUCCGCAAAUCAGCCCUUCCCCUAGGUUCUUUUCUCAAAGAAUAAAGAAUGGUAGGAGGGAAAUCUUGAUAGAAUUUGAAAAAGCAAACGACAAGUCGAAGGCAAUAAAAUAUGAAAAAUAUAUUUUUCAUAUUUCUAAGCUAAGAUUAAACAAAAGGAUUUGCAAAUAAAAGUGCUAAUGCUACAACCAGUCCAUAAAUUGUUAAAGCUUCCAUAAAAGCUAGACUAAGCAAUAGCGUACCUCGUAUUUUGCCCUCUGCCUCAGGCUGUCUCGCGAUACCCUCUACAGCUUGACCCGCAGCAGUCCCUUGACCAACUCCAGGUCCAAUAGAAGCAAGCCCUACGGCCAAUCCAGCAGCAAUAACGGAAGCGGCAGAAAUCAGUGGAUUCAUGAUAAGUUCCUCGUACCAAAAAAAGAAAUGGUUAAUGAUACAAUCAACCAAUGAAUUAUGACUUAAUUAUUCCCUCACUAGGACUCAUCCAGUCGAAGUAACUAAGAACUUCGGAUUGAAGUAAUAAGAUUCUUGAAUCAUCAAAACAACUUCGAUAUAUCUUUUUUACUUUUUAGCCACAGAGUCUUUGUGAACCCAUACGACUUUCAUUCUUCCAUUUCUUGUUCUUGGUUCGAACUGUUAGUUGAAUUAUUUCUUGAUUUCAUCCGUUUAGUCAUUCAAUUCACAGUCACAAGGGGCCGGAAGGACUUCUAGUCUAUUAGAAUCCCCUAGAAAAAUAUAUCUUUAUUAGUAGUUCAUUUCAUAUAUAACUAGCACUAGGCAAUAUCUAAUAUCACAUAUACAUGUCUUUCUUCCAUAACGUAAACCAAGCAUUCAUCUUAGAUUUAAUCCUAUUCGAGAAUCAAGCGUCGAAACAUCUAGAAGGGUUCGCUUAUAGUUAUUCAAGUACAGAUACCUCCCGCCCCUUUCUAAAAUACUAAAAAAAACUUUUGAAAAAUUCUUUUGAAUCUUACCUUUUCUUAUUAUUCCACCUAGAGAAAUCUAAAUGGACAAAUUGAUUAGGACGACAAAUUCCAUAGGUAUAGAAAUAUCAUUAUUUGAUUGAUCUAAGUUCAUGCACUUUAUUAAUAAAACUGAAUAAAAAAAUUAUUCAUUUUUAUUAUUUAUUUAUUAUUAAUAUUUUGGUGAAUCGUUGAAUAAAAUCAACUGAAAGGGAAAUCAUUUCGCCCUUUUUUUUUAUUUAAUUACACGUCGUAAACCUAUACAACAAGAAUUAUUGACAAAAAUUCUUAUAUUCAAAUUGUUUUAACAAUGAAUUAAUAAUGAGAUGGACUAAGCAAUCUAAAGUGAAUAUUCAUUGAGACGAAGUAUGAUAUUAAGUGAAGGAAAGGGGAAUUUUAGGAAAAAGAUCUAAAAACAAAGAUCUUUUUCCCCUUACUCUUUAAUAUCAUCGUAAUGUUUUUGCUAUCACUCUAGAUCGUAUAUAGCAUAGUUGUA